CUAAUGACUGAGUGGCGGACGGGUGAGUAACACGUAUGCAACCUGCCCGUGGCAGGGGGAUAAGCGGGGGAAACCCCGUCUAAUACCGCGUAACGCGGCCUUGGGGCAUCCCAAGGCCGCCAAAGGGAGCAAUCCCGGCCACGGAUGGGCAUGCGGCGCAUUAGCUAGUCGGCGGGGUAACGGCCCACCGAGGCGACGAUGCGUAGGGGUUCUGAGAGGAAGGCCCCCCACACUGGUACUGAGACACGGACCAGACUCCUACGGAAGGCAGCAG
rnacentral:rRNA from 1 species